rnacentral:rRNA from 1 species
UGGGGAAUAUUGCACAAUGGGCGCAAGCCUGAUGCAGCCAUGCCGCGUGUGUGAAGAAGGCCUUCGGGUUGUAAAGCACUUUCAGCGGGGAGGAAGGCGGUGAGGUUAAUAACCUCAUCGAUUGACGUUACCCGCAGAAGAAGCACCGGCUAACUCCGUGCCAGCAGCCGCGGUAAUACGGAGGGUGCAAGCGUUAAUCGGAAUUACUGGGCGUAAAGCGCACGCAGGCGGUUUGUUAAGUCAGAUGUGAAAUCCCCGGGCUCAACCUGGGAACUGCAUCUGAUACUGGCAAGCUUGAGUCUCGUAGAGGGGGGUAGAAUUCCACGUGUAGCGGUGAAAUGCGUAGAGAUCUGGAGGAAUACCGGUGGCGAAGGCGGCCCCCUGGACGAAGACUGACGCUCAGGUGCGAAAGCGUGGGGAGCAAACAGG